rnacentral:lncRNA from 1 species
AUUUAUCAUCCCGAAAACGGGUUUUCAAUUUCGGUUACAAGCUUGAUUCCACCAAAAUGGUUUAAGUCAAAAUACACCAGCCUAGCUUCGCUCAACCACCACACCGGCGCGUUCCGCUAGUCGGUUUCUAAAUUCCUAAACUGUCAAACUCCGUUCUCAACCAUCGAUGUGGACCGCAAGAAAGUGGCGUUCACCUCGUUUCCUCGGUUACCGGUACUCUAACGACACCUCAGGAGUAGCUGUUGUUUGACGAUUUCUUCAAGCUUGUACUCUCCAUUGAUCUUUAAGCACUAACCGGAAAGACAAUUAGGAGAAGAAGCAUACCCAAAGGGAAGCGACCGCAACUACGAGCGUCCACCGGCUGGAUUGAAACAAACGCAAAGCAAGAAAUCACCUAGCACCGAACAACCCAAGAAAGGCAGGCUGCAGCGGAGCACAAUCAAGAACAAAAUCUCUGUAUCCUGCAAAAGAAGUGAAACAUCAACCUGCUCAAAAGGCCAAGAGGCCGUCUAAGCACUGGGAUGGCUAAUAUCCCGCUACGUCUCCUCGCCGGAAGAACCUCGGCUGACCCAACCAAAGCUCUAAACCGACGCCGUAGCUCGAGCCAGAUAACCUGACCCGAAACUUCUUAGCGUUGAGCCGCUACGCCACGCUGGAGAGGCAGAGCAAAGACGACGCAACAAACACAUAGAACUCGAGCCACCGCGAACGACCCGAACAGCUUGACCUUGAGAGUGAGAGAAGCUGGACAAACAAAGAGAAGUCUCCGACGACGAGGAUAGUUCUGCCAUAGACGACAGAGCAUCCGACGACUCAUAAACUGCAAGCGCCGAAACCUCAGACAGUCCACAGCCACACGACCACGAGAUUGACUGAGCACGCUCCAUCAGGCUAGCCUGAUGCAUCCAUUGAAAGCCGACAAAACCGAAGGACGAAACAAGACACCAGGGUUCGUCCCGCGGAGAGCCGAUGUUCCACUCCACAACGAACAACAGUCGCAAAUAAAAACUUGAAAGAGCAAAGGAGUGAGUCCGGCGAGAGCUCUCACGGAAAGAGCAAAGGAGUGAGUCCGGCGAGACCCCCCCCGCCCCCCCACCCGCCGAGACUUCGACAAGAUCUACAAAGAGAAAACGAGAUCUGUCGGAGCCUCACCUUAAAAGCCGACUCCUUUCACAACACACACUCCGCUACCUCGUCGAGACACCAGAAACCAACCCCACCAGCCGGAUAUAUCUCUCCCCGGGAAGAUCUAGGGUUCCAGAAGUGAAGCAGAGACCACUGGCUCAAACAUGUCGGCAGACAAAAGAUAUGAGAGGAAGAGGAGCAAAGGAGAAAACAAGUUGAAGAGGAGAGAGAGCCUCCGGCGUCGGAGCUAACGCGAGCCUAGCGGAGCCAGGCCUCCGAACGCCGGAGCAGGGGAGCUUUUCUGAUUUGUUUUCUUAGUGAUGGAAGAGAGGAAAAGAGAGGAGAGAGAAACUGUUUAGAUCUAA